AUGGACGAAAUCACGAGCAGAAGCGAGAUAGGAGAGACAAAUUCACCUAGAAAGGUUGAUUACGGAGGCGAGCGAAGCUUCGUCAUCGGAAGACGAGGAAUGGUUAUAUACGGAGGCGGAGCAGUCAAAGACAGAGAAGAGAACAACGUCGCUUUUAUAACCCUAACUCAUUCCAAACACCACGUUUCUGGUUCUAUAACUUUGUCUAUUCAUUUUUUGUUUCUUUUCAAUAUUAAUAAUAAAAAUUUGUCGAGAUAA